UCUUGUUCUUGUCAUUCUAUGGGGAGGCAUGAUAACCUUGUAGUAGUAAAACCUUAUUAGAUUCAUUGAUCUAUUUGUUAGGAUGGAUUUAUUAUGAUGCUCAUACUCUAACGUCCCAAUAUUCCUAAUGUCUACCCACCUACACUCAUAUUAUGUUAAAUUCUGUGUCAUAAUUUAUCCACUUAUGCUCUGAUACCAUAU
rnacentral:lncRNA from 1 species